rnacentral:rRNA from 1 species
CUCCGGUUGAUCCCGCCGGACCCGACUGCUAUCAGAGUGGGACUAAGCCAUGCGAGUCAACAUAGCAAUAUGUGGCAUACGGCUCAGUAACACGUAGUCAACAUGCCCAGGGGACGUGGAUAACCUCGGGAAACUGAGGAUAAACCGCGAUAAGUCACUACUUCUGGAAUGGGUAAUGACUCAAAUCUACAUGGCCCCUGGAUUGGACUGCGGCCGAUCAGGCUGUUGGUGAGGUAAUGGCCCACCAAACCUGUAACCGGUACGGGCUCUGAGAGGAGGAGCCCGGAGAUGGGCACUGAGACAAGGGCCCAGGCCCUAUGGGGCGCAGCAGGCGCGAAACCUCUGCAAUAGGCGAAAGCCUGACAGGGUUACUCUGAGUGAUUUCCGUUAAGGAGAUCUUUUGGCACCUCUAAAAAUGGUGCAGAAUAAGGGGUGGGCAAGUCUGGUGUCAGCCGCCGCGGUAAUACCAGCACCCCGAGUGGUCGGGACGUUUAUUGGGCCUAAAGCAUCCGUAGCCGGUUCUACAAGUCUUCCGUUAAAUCCACCUGCUUAACAGAUGGGCUGCGGAAGAUACUAUAGAGCUAGGAGGCGGGAGAGGCAAGCGGUACUCGAUGGGUAGGGGUAAAAUCCGUUGAUCCAUUGAAGACCACCAGUGGCGAAGGCGGCUUGCCAGAACGCGCUCGACGGUGAGGGAUGAAAGCUGGGGGAGCAAACCGGAUUAGAUACCCGGGUAGUCCCAGCUGUAAACGAUGCAGACUCGGUGAUGAGUUGGCUUAUUGCUAACUCAGUGCCGCAGGGAAGCCGUUAAGUUUGCCGCCUGGGGAGUACGGUCGCAAGACUGAAACUUAAAGGAAUUGGCGGGGGAGCA